GGCGAAGUGAGGGCGCGAGCCAGCAGCGAACCAAGCGCACGACCCCGGCGGCGAACUAAGCGCGCGACCUUGACGGCUAACCAAGCGCGAGACCCAGGCGGAGAAGUGAAGCCUUUGACUGCCGAGGAAUUGGAGCAGUACGAGUCCGUUUCGGAGUCCUCCGACCCUGACUCCGACGACGUCUUCAAAGACGAGGAAGGGGACGGCGACGAAGACGAGGAUGAUGACAACGACGACGAGGACGAGGAUGACG
rnacentral:lncRNA from 1 species